AGGAGGGGGGGAAGGAGGAUUUGAGAAACAGCGCAGAGGAGGAGAACAAUCCGUGCAGUGAUUUUUGCACACAGAUCGUCCUGGAAAGGAAAGUAGGCAGUGGCCGUAGGGGAGCGAGCCUGGUCUUCACGCGUGGGGGGACCUCCUCCGAAGGCAUGAAUCCGCAGAGAACACCGGAAAGGCCACCUUCCGAAAGUAAAAACGUUCAUGCCAUCACCGGGUGACAACCAAGGGCCUCCAUCCGGUCCUUAGCUGCAGCCGAGCAAGCCCAGACCCGCUGGGCCAGCCGCCGUGGAUGCCGCGGAUGCCGCGGAUGCCGUGGAUGCGGUGCUCACGGAGUUCUUGCCCGGAGCCUGAUGUGCUUUGAAGCGGUAGAGACUUCUUUCACUUAAUCCCUCUCGUAACCUAACCAAGCCUCGUCGUCGGGGAGGUGACUGACUCCUCCACCAGUAGCUCCCUGGGCCACUCCAUGGGAAGCCCUGCAGUCUCCCGCGUGGUAUUUUCUUGCUCUUAAAGCCCUCCUUUGUCCUAGCUACGCCCCCUUCCUGUUCUAACUUCUUUAAAGCCAGUCGACUCUCAGAAAUCAACCAAGAUCAUCUUGGUUAAAACCCAGUGGACCUGCUUGCUUUGUGAAACAAGGAGAAAGGAAGGCUUCACACCAAGGUGAACGUUAAAACCAUUAGGCUGAAAGUUCACAUAGAUCUUUUUUAAAUUUUUAUUUAUUUAUGAUAGUCACACAGAGAGAGAGAGAGAGAGAGAGAGAGAGGCAGAGACACAGGCAGAGGGAGAAGCAGGCUCCAUGCACCGGGAGCCCGACAUGGGAUUCGAUCCCGGGUCUCCAGGAUCGCGCCCUGGGCCAAAGGCAGGCGCCAAACCGCUGCGCCACCCAGGGAUCCCAAGUUCACGUAGAUCUUAAGUCCAGUCCCCCAUCUUAAGUAGAAAUCUCCUCUUCAGUAUUUCCAUCGUACCUUCGUCCACUUAAACUUUUACAAUGUUGGAAAUCUCUAUCCUUAUUAGUAUUAUGUAUAAUCAUGGUCAUUUAUUCAAUUUUUACCUGUACCAGGAACUAAGCAAUUUUUAAAUAUUACUUCUAAUCCUUAACAUGAGAUACGCCUUAUUAUACCUAUUCGAUAGGGAAAUAAAGCUCAGAAGUAUCAUCCUUUUUUACCACAGCCAGCGCUGGUACCAGAAUUUAAAUUCCGUUCUGCUUAGAAGAUCUAUAAUCAUUUGAUUUGUGAACAUCAACUCACUUUCCCUUAACUUACACCAUUGGUGCUGAAUAUGACCCCUAGGAAUUAAUUAAUCUCAUUCUUUAUAAACAUAGCAAGCCUUAAAAUAUUUGAAGCAAGUACUAAGUAGCUAUCAGAAUAUCUAAUAUUUUUCUAUUUUUCAAAAAUUUUAGAUCCUUUCAUUAUUUGUCAAAAAGAAUGGUGAGCCCUCAUAACUAUAUAUAUAUCCUGCUUUGAAUGUCCUUUGACUUUUCCUUUUCCUUCUUAGAUUGUGCCCUCAAAAGAAAACAGAACAUUCAAAUAUGGUGGACCAAGAACUUUGCUAGAAAAGUGAUCAGUAGCCCCUUUGAUCCAAGCAUACCCUGUCAAUAAGGCAUCCCAAACUUGUGUUAGGCUUUACUUUUAGCAAAGGUAUUACCUACAAUUGAAUAAAACAUCCAAGUCUAUUUUACAUGAACUGCAAUUAAACCAUAGCUUCCACCUUA